rnacentral:ncRNA from 2 species
AAGCAGUUACAUGACCGGCGGAAAAUUGUGGAGCACCACAGGGGAUUGUAACUGUACGAACGCCGACCGCCUGGGCAAUCAUC